rnacentral:rRNA from 1 species
GCGGUGCGCGUCGGAGGACCCGGUGUAUCUUGAAUGUCAAAACGACUCUCGGCAACGGAUAUCUCGGCUCUCGCAUCGAUGAAGAACGUAGCGAAAUGCGAUACUUGGUGUGAAUUGCAGAAUCCCGUGAACCAUCGAGUCUUUGAACGAAGUUGCGCCCGAAGCCAUUAGGCCGAGGGCACGUCUGCCUGGGCGUCACGC